rnacentral:rRNA from 1 species
GUAGGGAAUAUUGGGCAAUGGGGGCAACCCUGAUCCAGCGACGCCGCGUGAGUGAUGAAGGCCUUCGGGUCGUAAAGCUCUGUUGCAGGGGAAGAACACAAUGACGGUACCCUGCUAGAAAGGAUCGGCUAACUUCGUGCCAGCAGCCGCGGUAAGACGAGGGAUCCUAGCGUUGUUCGGAAUUAUUGGGCGUAAAGCGGGUGCAGGUGGCUGGGUAAGUCAUAUGUGAAAGCCUGGGGCUUAACCCCAGAAGUGCAGUUGAUACUGCUUAGCUUGAGUGCUGGAGAGGCUAUUAGAAUUCCUGGUGUAAUGGUGAAAUACGUAGAUAUCAGGAGGAAUACCGGAGGCGAAGGCGGAUAGCUGGCCAGACACUGACACUCAGACCCGAAAGCGUGGGGAUCAAACAGGAUUAGAAACCCCAGUAGUCC